rnacentral:misc_RNA from 1 species
AAAAAAUCCGAGGUUUGAAUUCAAAUUGAAGUUAAAGAACUCUUAUGUUUGUGUUGCACAUGUUCUUAGCAGGUCAGCAUAGCCAUUGGAGUAGAUAUUUGAAUACAAUUCUGCCAUCUUGAUCCAUAUUUCUGAAUAAAUCACUAAAUGAAGGCAUUAAUUGAUAAAAAUAAAAUAUGGACUUGUUUUCCUAUUAAACCAAUCACUUUAUGGUAUUUAGAUUUUUUUUUUCUUUCUCAUUGUUGAAGCAAAAAGUGUCUUUCUUUAGGGA